rnacentral:rRNA from 1 species
CCUACGGGAGGCAGCAGUGAGGAAUAUUGGUCAAUGGUCGGGAGACUGAACCAGCCAAGCCGCGUGAGGGAGGAAGGUACAGAGUAUCGUAGACCUCUUUUGUCAGGGCACCAAGGCUGGGACUUGUCCCCGGAUGAGUGUACCUGAAGAAAAAGCAUCGGCUAACUCCGUCCCAGCAGCCGCGGUUAUACGGAGGAUGCGAGCGUUAUCCGGAUGUAUUGGGUUUAAAGGGUGCGCAGUCGGUCUUUUAAGUCAGCGGUCAAAGCCCGGGGCUCAACCCCGCCCCGCCGUUGAAACUGGCGGUCUCGAGUUGGAGAGAAGCAUGCGGAAUGCGCGGUGUAGCGGUGAAAUGCAUAGAUAUCGCGCAGAACUCCGAUUGCGAAGGCAGCAUGCCGGCUCCACACUGACGCUGAGGCACGAAAGCGUGGGUAUCGAACAGGAUUAGAUACCCCGGUAGUC